UCAUGACCCGUCUUGUAACACGGACCAAGGAGUCUAGCAUGUGCGCGAGUCAUUGGGAUAUAACUAAACCUAAAGGCGUAAUGAAAGUAAAGGUUUACCUUGCGUAGACCGAGGGAGGAUAAGCGGUUUGCCCUUAAAAGUGGCCGCUUCGCACUCCCAGAGUGUCUCAUUCUCAUUGCGAGAAGAGGCGCAUCAAGAGCGUACACGCUGGGACCCGAAAGAUGGUGAACUAUGCCUGAAUAGGGUGAAGCCAGAGGAAACUCUGGUGGAGGCUCGUAGCGGUUCUGACGUGCAAAUCGAUCGUCGAAUUUGGGUAUAGGGGCGAAAGA
rnacentral:rRNA from 1 species